AAACAUUCUCUUGUUUACUUUCUUAAUGGAGGUUUUUGGAUUGUGUUAGUCUGGAUCUUCACUCCAGACCUGUUCGCCUUGGGAGACCCAAACAGGAGCAUAGUGCUCCCGACGACAUAGCUCUGGAGAUCCCUAGAUCACACAAGCCCUUCCGCCACGCCAAGGCCCCGAUCCAGGAAGGGCCAAUACAUAUAAUAUUUUGGUUAAUAACAGUUGAGCUCCUCCUUAGUACACAUUUCUGUGGGAAACACACACUUGGACUGGAGACUCCACUGUGUUGCUGCUGCUGCAGGUGGUGUGUGUUGACCAGCAGGAGGCGCCGUUCACUGUAGAGCCAAUGAAAGAGCAAAGUGGCAGAGUAGUGAAGGGGACACUGUACUCUAGAGAGUGUUGUUACUGUUCUCAUAGUGACCAUUAAACAGUCAGUGUUCUUGCUGAAAGGACAGGACUGCUCAUUGCUCAUCACACUGAUGCUCCAACACACACCACACACACAUCAUCCUCAUCAUCAUCAUCAUCACCUGGACAAUAGAUGGUCAAAGUGGUCAGUCCAUCAGCACUCUGGUGUCCAGUGGAGGAAAAAAUACAACAAUCGGAAUAUCAGUGUGACUUGAAGAGUCUUUAGAGGCACAGAUUUGCUCACAUCCAUAUUUUACCUUGUUUACCAGAACAACUCUUUUCCUCUACAGAUCCUGUGUACAAACCUAGAGUGAGCAGAGACUGCAGUGAGACCCAGUGCUUGUUGGUCUAUGUAGGAAAGGAGACUAAACACACCAAAUACUCCUGGAAAGAGAACGGAAAAACUACACCUGGAAACACCUUGACAGUUCAGAUGAGCGGAGAGCAGAGUAAAAGUUACACCUGUGUGUUCAGUAACCCUAAGAGUGAGGAGCACAGUGACCCGGUCAGUGUGAUGGACGUAUCUCCAGGUUCUUCCGUUGGACUUAUAGUCGUUUUCCUCGUUGGAGCAGCUGAGUUCCUGAUCCUCAGUCUAGUGGCCGUUUAAAACAAAAUAAUUCCAAGGUCAUUAAAGCCCAUUAUUCCAAAAAAAAUACUGAUAUCUGAGUAGAAUUAAUUCACAGGUACCAUGACAUGAAGGUUCAGGACCUGUAUCUGUCACAGAGGUCUGUUGGUUGUACCAAGUAGCAGUGUGAGCCCUCCUCUCCUGGGAUUUUAAACUUUUUGUGUUUUUUAAAUGAAUUCAGUAAAAUGUCUGGAUGUUUUCCCUUCACUUUGUGCUGAUGUGUGGCAAAAGUUCUGAGGAAUGAUGGCUUCAUGCUGUAAAGUCUUCAAAUGUGAAAAAAUCUCAAGGAGUCAUCUUUAUAGACACUUUAUAUGGGUACCACUGACCAGAGAACACCUACUGUACCUCUCUCUCUGUAGGACUUCAGGCCUUUAAUACUGAGAAAUUUUGGAUUAACGCAUCCCCAACAUUACAAAGAGUAUCCAGAAGUUCUCU
rnacentral:lncRNA from 1 species